rnacentral:misc_RNA from 2 species
AACGCACAUUGCGCCCGCUAGCACUCUAGCGGGCAUGCCUGUCCGAGCGUCAUUUCAACCCUCAGGGCCCCCUUCCGGGGGGGACCUGGCGUUGGGGAUCGGCCCGCCCAGCGCGGCGCCGUCCCCCAAAUACAGUGGCGGUCCCGCCGCAGCCUCCCCUGCGUAGUAGCUAACACCUCGCACCGGAGCGCGGCGCGGCCACGCCGUAAAACCCCCGACUUUCUGAACGUUGACCUCGGAUCAGGUAGGAAUACCCGCUGAACUUAA